GCUGACCUUGAUUAUACCAUAAUUACAGCUGAGAUCUCAGCUUGGUUCAGAGCAGAGUUUUCUCCUGAUUAGAAGUGGCUAUUUUCUUACAUGAGAUAUUUGUGGGAGACUCAAGGCUGGCUGCUGAAAUUUGAGUAUUAUGAAUGUCUGAAGAAGCAUUGAAACAGUUUAACAAUCUGGAAUAACUGUCAUCUUUGUAUUAUUGUGUCAUUUUCCACUGCCUGUCAUCUUUGUAUAUUUUUUCAUGUUACUAUAUUCACUGUGGCAGCAUUUUGUAUUGUCUCAUACUGUUUCAGGUCCCAUGGUUUGAGCCUCUCAAUAUAUUUAUCUGUUCUGUUAUUUACAGUCAUUGUGCUCGUUUUUAGUGUGUUUCCAGUUUUCAUUUCAGUUGCAUACCACAGUGCUUUUCAUUUUCCUUUGCAAAUUUGGGUACUUUGUGUAUUUUGUGGUUGUUUCAAUACAUGCAAAACUGGGACCUUCAACAUACAAAAUAUAUGCUCUGCUACUAAGCUGUAGUGCCGUCUUGAUGUUGCGUGUGUGUUCACUUCUGUGCCUUGGGGAGUUAAUGCUUUUUAAAAUUACUAACACUGUUCCUGUUUCACAUCCUCAGCAUGUACAUUUGUAAAUGAGCAAAUAUUAUAAAACCACUAGUACUCUGUCCUUAGAAUAAGACUUACCAUGUAGCAGCUCUUUCUGGGAUGUUAACUUUGAUGGCUGAAGGAGAUUGUUCCCAGCAAUCUGAUGAUCAUUGGAUGAAAGAAUGUUUUUAACUGUAACUGUUUUUUAGAUUCUUUUAAAGCUGUUUUUAGAAUGCUU